rnacentral:rRNA from 1 species
UACGGAGGAUGCAAGCGUUAUCCGGAUUUAUUGGGUUUAAAGGGUGCGUAGGCGGAAUAAUAAGUCAGCGGUGAAAUCCUGUGGCUCAACCAUAGAAUUGCCAUUGAUACUGUUAUUCUUGAGUAUAGUUGAAGUGGGCGGAAUGUAUAAUGUAGCGGUGAAAUGCUUAGAUAUUAUACAGAACACCAAUUGCGAAGGCAGCUCACUAAGCUGUUACUGACGCUGAGGCACGAAAGCGUGGGGAGCAAACAGG